UUAACAGAUUGACAGUUGCUAGGGAUUUAAUACAUGGCUAAGUUUUGGAUUGACAAAAGGAAUUGUAGGCUUGCAAAAUGGGUUCUUUAGAAGAUCACACUUGCCGAGUUGGUAGGUGCAGAUUUCCGUAACGAUGGAUCUUGAGAAAUGAGAAUAGAGCUGCAAGUGGUUUUCUCAACCCCACUUUUGCCUCUGAUAAAGACUCGCUUAAAGAUCUAUUGGUCUUGUAUCUUCUGGACAAAUCCUUCUAUCACCUCUUAUCAUCUAUUACCAUCCUUUGCUAUUAAAUUCUGUUUCCCUCGAAGCAGAGCACAAAGACUCAUUUAAAUUUGCUCAAUUUAACCAAUUCUGCAAAUUUUCCCUCCUCCUCUUUCAAAACCUUUUCCUUUUCAAGUACAACUUCGUCCUCCUACGUCGCGAACUUAGUAUCACUUCUUGAUUGCCUGAAAUCAGAGAGAAAAAGAAUAUGGAUCACGUGGAAGAAGAUGGGGGAGAUACCUUAACGAGAAG
rnacentral:lncRNA from 1 species